UGUGAAACAGUGAUCGUGGCCGUCAGUGAGGACAGGAACGACCGCAUCCAGAAACACAAAAUAAAAUAGCUGAGGACAUAUUUGGCAACCUCACAGAAACGGCGAAAUGUCUGUGAUUGUUUGAUGUUCCAAGAGCUAGAAACAACUGGAACUCUCAUCUGUUGCACCUGCCUGGAAGAAAGCCCAUGUGCAGCGGCAGCUCGCGGAGAUUUCGAGGCUCAUUAGAGUCUUCAGCAUCUUCAGGAUUUUCAGGAGGGGAGUCCCAGUCAAACCGAACCGCACUGGUAUCUUGUGCUGGAACUGUCCGUAACCUCAAU